UACGUAGGGUGCAAGCGUUGUCCGGAAUUAUUGGGCGUAAAGAGCUCGUAGGCGGCUUGUCGCGUCGGCUGUGAAAACCUGGGGCUCAACCCCGGGCCUGCAGCCGAUACGGGCAAGCUAGAAUUCGGUAGGGGAGACUGGAAUUCCUGGUGUAGCGGUGAAAUGCGCAGAUAUCAGGAGGAACACCGGUGGCGAAGGCGCUGCUCUGGGCCGGUACUGACGCUGAGAAGCGAAAGCAUGGGGAGCGAACAGG
rnacentral:rRNA from 1 species